rnacentral:rRNA from 1 species
CUACGGGUGGCUGCAGUCGAGAAUCUUCCGCAAUGGACGAAAGUCUGACGGAGCGACGCCGCGUGCGGGAUGAAGGCCUUCGGGUUGUAAACCGCUGUCAGUGGGGAGGAAAUGCAUCAGGGUUCUCCCUGGUGUUUGACCGAUCCGCAGAGGAAGCGCAGGCUAAGUUCGUGCCAGCAGCCGCGGUAACACGAACUGCACGAACGUUAUUCGGAAUCACUGGGCUUAAAGAGUUCGUAGGCGGCCUUUCAAGUCGGGUGUGAAAUCCCUCGGCUCAACCGAGGAAUUGCGCCUAAUACUGUUGGGCUUGAGGGGGAUAGGGGUGAGCGGAACUGAUGGUGGAGCGGUGAUAUGCGUUGAUAUCAUCAGGAACACCGGUGGCGAAGGCGGCUCACUGGAUCUCUUCUGACGCUGAGGAACGAAAGCUAGGGGAGCGAACGGGAUUAGAUACCCCUGUAGUC